rnacentral:rRNA from 1 species
CAGCUUGACACUGAACUUUGACCUUACUUGUGUAGGAUAGGUGGGAGGCUUUGAAGCUGGAACGCUAGUUCCAGUGGAGCCGUCCUUGAAAUACCACCCUGGUAAUGUUGAGGUUCUAACUCUGUCCCGUGAUCCGGGACGAGGACCGUGUCUGGUGGGUAGUUUGACUGGGGCGGUCUCCUCCUAAAGAGUAACGGAGGAGUACGAAGGUGCGCUCAGCGUGGUCGGAAAUCACGCGUAGAGUAUAAAGGCAAAAGCGCGCUUAACUGCGAGACCCACAAGUCGAGCAGGUACGAAAGUAGGUCUUAGUGAUCCGGUGGUUCUGUAUGGAAGGGCCAUCGCUCAACGGAUAAAAGGUACUCUGGGGAUAACAGGCUGAUACCGCCCAAGAGUUCAUAUCGACGGCGGUGUUUGGCACCUCGAUGUCGGCUCAUCUCAUCCUGGGGCUGAAGCAGGUCCCAAGGGUAUGGCUGUUCGCCAUUUAAAGAGGUACGCGAGCUGGGUUUAGAACGUCGUGAGACAGUUCGGUCCCUAUCUACCGUGGGCGCUGGAAAUUUGAGAGGAUCUGCUCCUAGUACGAGAGGACCAGAGUGGACGAACCUCUGGUGUACCGGUUGUGACGCCAGUCGCAUCGCCGGGUAGCUAUGUUCGGAAGGGAUAACCGCUGAAAGCAUCUAAGCGGGAAGCCUACCUCAAGAUAAGAUUUCCCUAGGACUUUAUGUCCUCUAAAGAGCCGUUCGAGACUAGGACGUUGAUAGGUUGGAUGUGGAAGCAUAGUGAUAUGUGAAGCUGACCAAUACUAAUUGCUCGUGAGGCUUGACUAU